rnacentral:lncRNA from 1 species
AUUUUUAUCACUCUAAUAGAGAAUAACGUUUUGUAUCAAGGUGGAUAAAGGAAAUAAUGAGAGUUAUUUCACUUUUAAUCAGUGAAGAAUUAUAUAACUUUAACUGGGAACCUUACAGGUUAUUUAUUAGAGAAUAAAUCUUGAAGGGAAUUGAGUUUUUUUUUUUAAACAAAAUCCAUGUGGAGGCUUUGUUCACAUAAUUAUAUAUUUUAUCAUUACAUGUAAUCAUCUUUAAAUAUAUUGGUUGUUCAAGAGGAUUUUUAUUCAUGAUUACAUUUGUUUAAUCGAGUUUAUGUGUUCGUGGACCUUAAUAGAUUCAACAUAAUACCUAAAGCACCACCAACAGUUAUCAAUUGCCUAUUCCCAGAUUGUGAUGAAGUUAUUGAAAGCGACUCAGAGGCAGUGGCAAUUGAUCUAUUCAAAACUCAUAGUUUGAGUAAUCAUAAACCACUUUCACGAGACUUAGAACUGGGUCGUAAGUCUAAUCCACCGCUUGGUGAGAUACCCAAAAUUGAUUUUGAAACAACACAAGAAGGAUGGAUUAGUUUUCUGGGUAGAUGGGAAUGGUUUACAAGAAUUAAGAAAGUUGAAAGUCGGGAAAAAAGUAGACCAAUUGUUUCAAUGCUGUGAGGUUACAAUGGAAAAUGAUAUUGCUUAAAACUAGUCCAAAAAUUUUGGAAGAAAAUGUUGUUCUGUCAGCUAUUAAAUCCCUGGCAGUCAUUCCAGAAAUUUGCUGUGUAAAACAAACAGAUUUAUUUCAUAUGAAACAAUUCUAUGGAGAACCAAUUAAAGCGUUCGCGUCAAGAGUUCGAAGCAAUGCAGCUAUUUGUUACUUCUCAACAAAGCGCAAAUGCGAUAGUAACGUUGAUUUUACAGAAAAAAUAGUUCGAAUAAUAUUAAUGACUGGAGUUAAUGAUCGAUAAAUAUUUAGAGAGAUUGUCACUAUACCAGAAAUUGAUAAGAAAAGUCUGUCAGAGUUGACCCAAAUGAUUGAAUCUAGAGAAAGAGACAAAAUUGCUACGAGCAGCCACCCAAUAUCGGCAGCAGUUUCUACUUUCAAACGACGGUCCAGGAUGAAUCAAAAAUUUGAGGAAGAUACAAAUGCGGGGAAAUAUACAAGUAGAUAAAUGUUGGGAGCAGCAUAGGAUUUGCAACAAAGUAUUUUACUCAAGGAUGUGACAAAUUGGUGGUUGUAACGGAACAUAAGCCGCUCGUUAAUCUAAUAGGAGAUCAAACUCUGGAUUAAAUUCCAAAUAAGGGCUUGUUUAGACUUAUACAGCGACAGUUAAUGUGAAAUUUUGAUAUUUUUCAUAUGCCUGGUAUUUCAAAUUCAUUGGCUGACGCAAUGUUAAGAAAUCCAAUGGAAAGCAGAGGGGAUGAGACUGCGGAUGAAGAGGAGGAGUUGUUGAUGGCGUUGAUAAGGUGUUAACCUGAGCUGGGAAGAAUCAUCUGGAGAACAAUUGCAUAUGUAACGAGACAGAACACCGUUUGUCAUACACUGCUAAUAAUGAUAAAGUUCUGAAAGACGAUCUGCCUAAGGAGAUAGAGGAAUACAAACCUAUUUGGAAGUCUUUGUAUCAAAUGCGUGGCGUGAUUAUGUACCAGGGCAAAGUGACCGUACCAGAACCACUUCGCAAGGAAGUGUUGAAGAUAUUGCAAACGGGUCAUCAGGGCACCUCAGUAAUAAUGAUAUCUCAUGCGUCAUCAUAUGUGCUUUUGCCAGGAAUUACAAACGACAUUAGGCGUACCAGGGACUUAUGUAGGUCAUGCAACCUAUUGCUCCUUCACAGUCUAGAUGUUCACCUAUACUUUCGAUUGUCCCAGGUACACCAUUCGAAGCUAUUGUUGCCGACUUUUGUGACAAGGGAGGUUACAGGACCUUGUAAUCGAAGGAUUGUCGGGAUAGAAAGAGGUGUCCGAUUCAUCUGAUUCUAAAGGAGUAAAGGGACUGUUGGCAGGCUUGAGGAGUUUCUUCGGAACGUUUGGAGUUCCUGAAUAAAUCUCAAGCCACUAUAGGCUGGAAUUUGUAUAUUAUGAAACGGCGGAAUUUUUAAGAAAAUAGGGGAUCACGCACCUCACGUCCUCUGCUUAUUUUCUGCAGUCUAAUGGAAGAGCGGAAGUAGUAAAUAAAAAAGUAAAGACAAUACUGUAAGACAACAUUGGUCGUAAUGGAACAUUGAACAAUGAUGAAUUUGUUCUUAACUGUGAGAAAUACACCAGAUCCUGAAAUAGGAACUUCGCGAGCAAGAAUAAUUUUUGGUACAUAUAUAUAAGACUUUUUGCCUCAGUUGUCCAAAAAAGAACAAAAAAAAAUAAUAAUAAUAAUUCCAAAGUUGACCCAAAUGGCGAGAAUCGUAGGAUCAAAGGAAAAAGCGAUGAGAACGAAGGCAAUAAGGGUUUAUGAAGGCUUAGUGGCUGGAUCUAAGAGAAGAGAAUCGUUGAGAAUACAUGACCGUUUGAUUAUCCAGAACCAGCACUGACCUCGGCCCACUAGAUGGGAAAGGUCGGGCAAAGUAGUAGAAGUUGGAAGGCAUGAUCAAUAUACAAUAAUUGUAGAUGGUCCUCGACGCUUAACUAAAAGGAACAGGCUUUUCUGAAGAAACUUAACAACCCAUUAAGGGAAUCUGGGGAUGAGAAUAAGGGAAUCAAUGUUGAAUCACGAAGUGAUUGAACAAAAAGUAUGACAACGACGAUACCACAAUGAAUACCUAGAAGGUCGUCGAGAGAUAUAAUAAUUUUUUCUUUUAUAAACUUGACACUUGAAUAUACCUAAGCCGGAGUGAAAGCAUGUGAUAUUUACAAAAAAAUGGGGUUUUUAUUAUUUUAAAAUAUCAGGGAGGGGGUUAUGAAAAAUUAUAUAACUUUAACUGGGAGCCUUGAAGGGUAUUUGAUGAAGAAUAAAUCCUGAAGGGAGUUGAGUUCUCUUUUAAAAGAGACUCCAUGUAGAGGCUUUGUUCCCAUAAUUAUAUAUUUUAUUAUUAGUAAGUGUAUUGAUUAUUUAAUUAAUGGCAAGUAAUAUUUAAUUGUAAAUCUCUUUUAGUAUGUAAUCAUCUUUAAAUAUAUUGGUUGUUCAAGAG